rnacentral:rRNA from 1 species
AUUGAACGCUGGCGGCAGGCCUAACACAUGCAAGUCGAGCGAGCGGCGGACGGGUGAGUAAUGUCUGGGAAACUGCCUGAUGGAGGGGGAUAACUACUGGAAACGGUAGCUAAUACCGCAUACCAUCAGAUGUGCCCAGAUGGGAUUAGCUAGUGGGUGGGGUAAUGGCUCACCUAGGCUACGAUCCCUAGCUGGUCUGAGAGGAUGACCAGCAACACUGGAACGGAGACACGGUCCAGAUCCCUACGGGAGGCAGAAGUGGGUAAUAUUGCAAAAUGGGCGAAAGCCUGAUGCAGCCAUGCCGCGUGAAUGAAGAAGGCCUUCGGGUUGUAAAGUACUUUAAGCGGGGAGGCGUGACUCGCAGAAGAAGCACCGGCUAACUCCGUGCCAGCAGCCGCGGUAAUAC